CGUAGUUUAGUCUCUAGAAGUUGUUGCUCGGUCCUCGAAGUGGGGGCAUGUGCACGCUCUGUUCACACAUCCACUCACACCCUGUGCACUCUCUGUAGUUCUAUGGCCAGGGGGCCUGCCCUCCUGCUGUGGUUCUGCGUCUUUACACACACACUGUAACAAAGUCUCAUGGAAUGCAUGCCGCGUUUAACGCAAUACAAUACAACUUUCAGCAACGGAUCUCUUGGCUCUCGCAUCGAUGAAGAACGCAGCGAAAUGCGAUAAGUAAUGUGAAUUGCAGAAUUCAGUGAAUCAUCGAAUCUUUGAACGCACCUUGCGCCCUUUGGCCAUUCCGAAGGGCAUGCCUGUUUGAGUAUCAUGAACACCUCAACUCUUCAUGGUUUUCCAUGAUGAGCUUGGACUUUGGGGGACUUGCUGGCCUACAGUCAGCUCCUCUAAAAUAAAUCAGCUUGCCAGUGUUUGGUGGGUAUUGCAGGUGUGAUAACUAUCUACGCUUGUGGUUUUCCACCGAGUAACCUUCAGCAGUGGAGGUUCACUGGAGCUCACAGACGUCUCUCCUCAAUGAGGGACAGCCCUUUGAAUGUUUGAUCUCAAAUCAGGUAGGACUACCCGCUGAACUUAAGCAUAUCAAUAAGCGGAGGAAAAGAAACUAACAAGGAUUCCCCUAGUAACUGCGAGUGAAGCGGGAAGAGCUCAAAUUUAAAAUCUGGCGUGCCUCUGGUCGUCCGAGUUGUAGUCUGGAGAAGCGUCUUCCGUGCUGGACAGUGUACAAGGUCUCCUGA
rnacentral:rRNA from 1 species